rnacentral:rRNA from 1 species
AUUGAACGCUGGCGGCAUGCCUUACACAUGCAAGUCGAACGGUAACGGGCCUUCGGGUGCCGACGAGUGGCGAACGGGUGAGUAAUGCAUCGGAACGUACCUUUCAGUGGGGGAUAACGUAGCGAAAGUUACGCUAAUACCGCAUAUUCUGUGAGCAGGAAAGCAGGGGAUCGCAAGACCUUGCGCUGAUUGAGCGGCCGAUGUCAGAUUAGCUAGUUGGUGAGGUAAAGGCUCACCAAGGCGACGAUCUGUAGCGGGUCUGAGAGGAUGAUCCGCCACACUGGAACUGAGACACGGUCCAGACUCCUACGGGAGGCAGCAGUGGGGGAAUUUUGGACAAUGGGGGCAACCCUGAUCCAGCCAUGCCGCGUGAGUGAAGAAGGCCU